rnacentral:tRNA from 1 species
GCCCAGGUGGCGGAAUUGGUAGACGCGCGGCGUUCAGGUCGCCGUGUCCUUGGUGAUGUGCGAGUUCGAGUCUCGCCCUGGGCACCA